rnacentral:rRNA from 1 species
GAUGAACGCUGGCGGCGUGCCUAAUACAUGCAAGUCGAGCGAACAGACGAGGAGCUUGCUCCUCUGACGUUAGCGGCGGACGGGUGAGUAACACGUGGAUAACCUACCUAUAAGACUGGGAUAACUUCGGGAAACCGGAGCUAAUACCGGAUAAUAUAUUGAACCGCAUGGUUCAAUAGUGAAAGACGGUUUUGCUGUCACUUAUAGAUGGAUCCGCGCCGCAUUAGCUAGUUGGUAAGGUAACGGCUUACCAAGGCAACGAUGCGUAGCCGACCUGAGAGGGUGAUCGGCCACACUGGAACUGAGACACGGUCCAGACCCCUACGGGAGGCAGCAGUAGGGAAUCUUCCGCAAUGGGCGAAAGCUUGACGGAGCAACGCCGCGGGGGUGAUGAAGGGCUUCGGAUCGUAAAACUCUGUUAUUGGGGAAGAACAAAUGUGUAAGUAACUAUGCACGUCUUGACGGUACCUAAUCAGAAAGCCACGGCUAACUACGU